rnacentral:rRNA from 1 species
GACGUAGGGGGCGAGCGUUGUCCGGAUUUAUUGGGCGUAAAGAGCUCGUAGGCGGCUUGUCGCGUCGUCCGUGAAAACCCACAGCUCAACUGUGGGCUUGCGGUCGAUACGGGCAGGCUAGAGUUCGGUAGGGGAGACUGGAAUUCCUGGUGUAGCGGUGAAAUGCGCAGAUAUCAGGAGGAACACCGGUGGCGAAGGCGGGUCUCUGGGCCGAUACUGACGCUGAGGAGCGAAAGCGUGGGGAGCGAACAGG